rnacentral:rRNA from 1 species
GACGAACGCUGGCGGCGUGCCUAAUACAUGCAAGUAGAACGCUGAAGAGAGGAGCUUACUCUUCUUGGAUGAGUUGCGAACGGGUGAGUAACGCGUAGGUAACCUGCCUUGUAGCGGGGGAUAACUAUUGGAAACGAUAGCUAAUACCGCAUAACAAUGGAUGACACAUGUCAUUUAUUUGAAAGGGGCAAUUGCUCCACUACAAGAUGGACCUGCGUUGUAUUAGCUAGUAGGUGAGGUAAUGGCUCACCUAGGCGACGAUACAUAGCCGACCUGAGAGGGUGAUCGGCCACACUGGGAAUGAGACACGGCCCAGACUCCUACGGGAGGCAGCAGUAGGGAAUCUUCGGCAAUGGGGGCAACCCUGACCGAGCCACGCCGCGUGAGUGAAGAAGGUUUUCGGAUCGUAAAGCUCUGUUGUAAGUCAAGAACGGGUGUGGGAGUGGAAAGUUCACACUGUGACGGUAGCUUACCAGAAAGGGACGGCUAACUACGUG